GAGUUUGAUCGUGGCUCAGAUUGAACGCUGGCGGCAUGCCUUACACAUGCAAGUCGAACGGCAGCACGGGAGCUUGCUCCUGGUGGCGAGUGGCGAACGGGUGAGUAAUGCAUCGGAACGUAUCCUGGAGUGGGGGAUAACGUAGCGAAAGUUACGCUAAUACCGCAUAUUCUGUGAGCAGGAAAGCGGGGGACCUUCGGGCCUCGCGCUCUUGGAGCGGCCGAUGUCGGAUUAGCUAGUUGGUGAGGUAAAGGCUCACCAAGGCGACGAUCCGUAGCAGGUCUGAGAGGAUGAUCUGCCACACUGGAACUGAGACACGAUCCAGACUCCUACGGGAGGCAGCAGUGGGGAAUUUUGGACAAUGGGGGCAACCCUGAUCCAGCCAUGCCGCGUGAGUGAAGAAGGCCUCGGUU
rnacentral:rRNA from 1 species